UACGGGCGGAGCAAGCGUUGUUCGGAUUCAUUGGGUGUAAAGGGUGCGCAGGCGGUCGACUAAGUCGGAAGUGAAAGGUUCACGGCUCAACCGGGACACUGCUUCCGAUACUGGUCGACUUGAGUGCGGAAGGGGAGCGUGGAAUUCCUGGUGUAGCGGUGAAAUGCGUAGAUAUCAGGAGGAACACCUGUGGCGAAGGCGACGCUCUGGUCCGUAACUGACGCUCAUGCACGAAAGCCAGGGGAGCGAA
rnacentral:rRNA from 1 species